CUGCAAUAUUGUAUCGGAGCAUGGCUCUAAUGGUGGCAAAGGGAAAGUGCAAUACUGAAUCUAUGCUGUAGGAAAAUCAAUAUGGAUCUACCGUAUGGGUUUAGUAUCGAUCAGUCAAUAAAGGACUUCACUGACCAAAUGAUUAAAUGAUGUGGAAACCACGUCUAAUAAUAUGACGCCACUCAAGGGGAUAUGAUUUAAAAAGCAAAUGACUGAGUGAUGUGCAACUGAUCGCAAGGUCAUCA